UUGAGCACAGGAAGACAAACUGCUUUCUCUACCUGAAGGGUGACUGAAGUGACCCUCCACUUGAACCCGUGUUGAAAGAGACGCCUCUGCACUGACUCCAGUCAAAGAUGUUGAAAAUCCUCUUCUUGGUGUCCUUGGCGCUGCUGGCUGCUUCCCACAUCCAGUCUGUAAAGAGUUCCUCUUCGGGUGGUUCUGAUGCUGGUGUCCAGAAGCCCUGUGCCCGCCUCUUCCACCUGGAGACUGGGGAGCAGCUGGAGCUGCCGUCCCUCCCAGAGAAGAAGAAGAAGCUGCUGGGGGGAGCUGCUGCUGGGAGUGAAGGAGCCUUCAGCUUCAGCUCCUUCACUGUGAUGGACGGGUGUCUGCUCUCUCUGUGGGUUGCAGGUUCCCAAGAAUGGGGCCUGGAGUCUCGCUCCUUCCCGAGUGGGGCUUACCUCAACCAGCUGCCUGGUGCUGGGGUCUCCCUGAACAGCUACCAGUGCACCUGCGACCAGGAGAAAAACCAAGUCACAGCCGAUUUUAUAGAUUUCAAAAAGAGGCACAUUGCUAGUCUAAAGGAAAAUGGUGGAGGUAAAUUCUGCACUGACAAAAUACGUGAAAGACAUAUAAAUACAAAAGGACCAUGCAAAGAAUGUAACACUUUUAUAUUUGCUCCUGAAAAUAGCAUAAUCCAAGUGUGUAGAAAUGAAGGUGUCAAGAUUUCAAACACAACUUUGUAUAAGACAACUUUCUAUAAGAGCAAGAAACAAUUCAGAAUUGUGGAUUGUAUAAGUAAGAAAAAAAACCAUAGCUCCCCAAACUGUAUCUACAAACCCAGCAAAACAAACCACUUGAUGUAUAUCGUUGUAGCCUGUGAUAACAAUCAGCUGCCUGUACAUUUUGAGAGAUCAGACUCCAGUCCUCCUCCAUUUGGAAUCACUGGAAGAGUUUAAACUCUACUGUGAAGAACCAGCUCUCUCCGUGCUGCUUAUUGCUUUAGGAAACCAAGACAAGUAGCCUGCUGUUAAUUUCCUCAGGAAAGGGCAACUUUUAGAAAGAGAAACACAAGAUUAAAGUGGAACUCUAGUUGUUUUUACUUGUGUGUGUUUGUGUGUGUGUGUGUUACAUGUUCCCAUAUGUUGCUGCAACUGUUUUGACACCCUGACCACUUUUUUUCACAAUUAAAUUGCAUCUACAGUGCUCUCUUUCUAAGAUGGCUUCACCUGUACCUUUGAGAAGAACUUUAGAACUACAUUUCACAUCAUCCUCCUGCUCACAUAUGUAUGAUUGGAGGGGGUGGGGAGAGAUGGGAAAUGUAGUUCUGAUAGAAUGUGCAGUCAUCUUGGAAACAGCACAAUGCAAUUUAAUAGUGUCAAAAAAAGUUGUCAGGAUGUGAAAAAAUAAAAACGAUACACACUUUACUUAAAGAGUUAUAGCAACACAGCAGAACAUGCAAAACAAGUUGAUUUCCCCUUUAAAGCACUCCACAAUAGAAGUUGCUAUUGAAGCUCAUACAGGUAUACAGUUAUUUGUAGGGGGAGACCCCGGGCACGUGGGAUUUACCCCCUGGACUUUUUCUUUCUUUUUCGUCCCAGCUUUGUGUUACGUCCGUGACUGAUGUUGUAUGUGGACCUUGUUUUUUAUGUUUUUAUUUUUUUUCUCCGAGCCAGUGACUGACAGGAGGGGGUUGCCUUAGUGUGCUGUGGAUUUUUGAUUUUUUUCUGUUCUGUUUUUUGCAUUCCCUAGUGUGGUCCUUUUUUUGAUUUUAGUCUAGCGAUCUCUUUUUAUACCGUGUUUUUAGUACCCUGAACGGGAGAGUAUAAUUAUCAUUCGGUUACUAAGGCCCUUGUCUUAUUAAAAACAAAGUGGCGUAGUCGUCAGCUGCAUAGGUAUUAUCGUCAAGGUUAUCUCAGGUCACCCACCUGUGACAUCAACAGUGCUCCGUUUCCAAGAUGCUUUCAAACGUACCCUUCAGAAGAACUUCAGAACUACAUUUCCCCAUAAACCUACUGCUCACGUAUGUAUGAUGGGGGUGAUGGGAAAUGUAGUUCUGAAGUUCCUCUGAAAGGACGCCAUCUUGGAAACGAGAGCACUGUAGACUGCAAUUUAAUAGUGUAAAAAAGUGGUCAGAAUGUCAAUAAUAAAAACCACACACACACCUUAAUUACAAUUAUAGCAACACAUGUAACACAACAUGUAACACAAAAAAUCAACUUGACUUCCCCUUUACCUUCAUACCAGUUUUGUAAACUUCCAACAAAGGACAAAAACAUACAGUGACAAAGUGAAGAGAAAUAGUCUCCAUCUUGUCUUGACCAGAGACGUGAUUAUUUGAAUGAAUGUGUGAUGAAUUGACCCUCUUUGAUCAUUCCUUUCCUGAUGUUGAGAUAUUGAGAAUGGAAAUGCAAGACGUUGUUUCUCUUGUAAUCCCUGCUGUUUUAACGCAAUAAAAGCUUCUGCUGCAUCAAACACUUGA